ACCCCUACGGGAGGCAGCAGUGAGGAAUAUUGGUCAAUGGGCGCGAGCCUGAACCAGCCAAGUCGCGUGAGGGAAGACGGUCCUAUGGAUUGUAAACCUCUUUUGUCGGGGAGCAAAAGACGCCACGUGUGGCGUUCCGAGAGUACCCGAAGAAAAAGCAUCGGCUAACUCCGUGCCAGCAGCCGCGGUAAUACGUAGGGGGCAAGCGUUAUCCGGAUUUACUGGGUGUAAAGGGAGCGUAGGUGGCAUGGUAAGCCAGAAGUGAAAACCCGGGGCUCAACCCCGCGGAUUGCUUUUGGAACUAU
rnacentral:rRNA from 1 species